CUCCUCAAGGGCAGCAGUCAGCCUGACUCAUCUCCAUGUCCUCAGCACAUGGCAUAAACUCAGGGAUUGGCAGCAUCAUAAGAACCUAUGGAGUGAGCAAUGUCUUACUUCAGAAGCUGAUGACCAAUGGAAAGCAAGGACCAAGAUGACACAGGAGCCAACUGUUAGCAGCACGAAGGAGGUGGAGUCAGGCAUGACAGCAUGGAAGGAGUCCAACCACCACCAUCCAAGGCUGACCAGAAACCACUUUAAGCCUCUUCCAUCCUGCUACGGUUUUACACCUCCUAAAGAUAUAUAAUCAUGGGUUAAUAAGGCCCAGUAACCAUGGCUACACCCCAUAAUUCCCAACAUUCUUAUUUAUCCCUCCUCUUGACAAGCAGCCACCACUCUUCUCAAGCCUUGUCCCUGGCAGAUAGCCACAAUUCCUUUUCACUGAACUCUCCCCCUUGAAAGCCCCAUUUUGACCUUUUCUUUUCACAGCCCCCCUUUAUGCUCAUGGCCCUAUAAAAGACCUCAGAGCCUGUGCGAGAGUUAUUGGUCUGGUCUAAGUGCCAGGGCAGUUCCUG
rnacentral:lncRNA from 1 species